rnacentral:rRNA from 1 species
CACGUAGGGCGCAAGCGUUGUCCGGAAUUAUUGGGCGUAAAGAGCUCGUAGGCGGUCUGUUACGUCUGCUGUGAAAACCCGGGGCUUAACCCUGGGCUUGCAGUGGAUACGGGCAGACUAGAGGUAUGCAGGGGAGAACGGAAUUCCUGGUGUAGCGGUGAAAUGCGCAGAUAUCAGGAGGAACACCGGUGGCGAAGGCGGUUCUCUGGGCAUGAUCUGACGCUGAGGAGCGAAAGUGUGGGGAGCGAACAGG